rnacentral:tRNA from 1 species
GGGCCCCUAGCUCAACGGUAGAGCAGCCGCUUCGCAAGCGGCAAGCUCCGGGUUCAAAUCCCGGGGGUGUCCA